rnacentral:rRNA from 1 species
GAAUCUUCCGCAAUGGACGAAAGUCUGACGGAGCAACGCCGCGCGAGGGAUGAAGGUUUUCGGAUCGUAAAGCUCUGUUGCCAGGGAAGAACGCUUGGGAUAGUAACUGAUCCCAAGGUGACGGUACCUGAGAAGAACGCACCGGCUAACGACGUGCCAGCAGCCGCGGUAAUACGUAGGGGGCAAGCGUUGUCCGGAAUGAUUGGGCGUAAAGCGCGCGCAGGCGGCCUUGUAAGUCUGUUGUUUAAACUUGGGGCUCAACCCCAAGUCGCAAUGGAAACUGCAAAGCUUGAGUACAGAAGAGGAAAGUGGAAUUCCACGUGUAGCGGUGAAAUGCGUAGAGAUGUGGAGGAACACCAGUGGCGAAGGCGGCUCACUGGCUCGAUACUGACGCUGAGGUGCGAAAGCGUGGGGAGCAAACA